AGGUUGGUGGUGCAGUGGUAAGCACAGCUGCUUUUCAAGCAGAUGACUCGGGUUCGAUUCCCGGCCAACUAA